rnacentral:snRNA from 1 species
AUAUUUACCUGACAGAAGAGAUACUGUGAUCAUGAAGGUGGUGAGGCUCAACCACCACACUGCAGAUGUACUGACCCUUGUGAUUUUCCCAAAUGUGGGAAACUUGACUACAUAAUUUGUAUAGUAUGGGACCACACUCAUGCGUUCCCUGA